AUACGUAGGGGGCGAGCGUUGUCCGGAAUGAUUGGGCGUAAAGGGCGCGUAGGCGGCCUGUUAAGUCUGGAGUGAAAGUCCUGUUUUCAAGAUGGGAAUUGCUUUGGAUACUGAUGGGCUUGAGUGCAGGAGAGGUUAUCGGAAUUCCCGGUGUAGCGGUGAAAUGCGUAGAGAUCGGGAGGAACACCAGUGGCGAAGGCGGGUAACUGGACUGGAACUGACGCUGAGGCGCGAAAGUGUGGGGAGCAAACAGGAUUAGAUGCCCUGGUAGUCCACACUGUAAACGAUGAAUGCUAGGUGUAAGAGGUAUCGACCCCUUUUGUGCCGGAGUUAACACAAUAAGCAUUCCGCCUGGGGAGUACGGCCGCAAGGUUGAAACUCAAAUGAAUUGACGGGG
rnacentral:rRNA from 1 species